rnacentral:rRNA from 1 species
UUUCCUACGGGAGGCAGCAGUGGGGAAUAUUGGGCAAUGGGCGCAAGCCUGACCCAGCAACGCCGCGUGAAGGAAGAAGGCUUUCGGGUUGUAAACUUCUUUUGUCAGGGACGAAGCAAGUGACGGUACCUGACGAAUAAGCCACGGCUAACUACGUGCCAGCAGCCGCGGUAAUACGUAGGUGGCAAGCGUUAUCCGGAUUUACUGGGUGUAAAGGGCGUGUAGGCGGGACUGCAAGUCAGAUGUGAAAACCACGGGCUCAACCUGUGGCCUGCAUUUGAAACUGUAGUUCUUGAGUACUGGAG